GCGGGCGUAGUUCAACGGUAGAACGGUAGCCUUCCAAGUUACUCACGGGAGUUCAAUUCUCCUCGCCCGCUCCA
rnacentral:tRNA from 1 species